ACCCAGCUUCCAUCGGCUUGGAUAAUAUCCUGUGCGUAGAGUGUAGUUUAUUGUGUUUGUCAGUGCGGUAUAAUAUGCUGGG